GCGGGCGAGCGCCUCGCCAACCCGGUCAGGUCCGGAAGGAAGCAGCCGUAACGAGCCCCGCUUGGGUCGUUGUCCAGCCUC
rnacentral:SRP_RNA from 1 species